UCUACAGCCUAUUCCCCUGCAGCAGCUAGAGUGACCCAAACUCUGAUCGGCAUCUCUGACAGCUCUUGGAACUCAAGAGCUAUGCAGUAAUUAUUUUUGAAGAGAUGAAUAAAUGCUCAGAUGAAGAUCUGCCCUUGGGUGAAAGUACUGGAUAUAAAAAGAUGAAAUAGAUGCAAGAGACAUCUCGAAGGAUGCAAGAGAUACCACAAAGGAUGACUUGCCUGGCUGACAGGGUGUGGAAGAAACAGGAGACCAAGGAAUUGAAGUGAACUCCAGGUAUCUUGAGUGGAACAGAGGAAGAAGAUGAAAAAUGGAAAAUGUCACCAAGUCUUUUUCUUCCUGCAAUGAAGGAAGGAUGUAACGCAUACAAAGAAAUCUGGAUGAAAAAAGAUGAGUCUUGGAAUUUCUCUCAGGACUAUGAUCCAGAACUGAUCAAAGAGGAGAAACGGAAGGAAUUACAGUCAGAGAUCAGGAUACAGGUUGAUGAGUUGAUGAGACAGGAACUUAAAAACUUAAAGCUAGCUGUGGACAGAGAAAGGGAGCGCCCAGUGAAAGCAGGAAAGAAAAAGGACAAGAAAGGAAAGAAAGGCAAAAAG
rnacentral:sRNA from 1 species